rnacentral:sRNA from 1 species
UUUGAAAGACGAUUAGUGUUAGACGUGUCAGAAAAUAUUUUAUACGAAAAAAAAAAAUAGAAUUAUUCGAAGAUUUAAUUGAGUAAUUAUUAAGGAGAUAAAAGGAUCACGAGCAUACCACAUCAAUUUAUUUUCAAAUUUCGGACGACGAAAUUAAUUUUUCGACUAAUUUUUAUUUUCCUGUAGUUUGGAUCGCCGAUUCCUCUGUGAAUCGGCGCUGUCCACCAACAAAAGAAGAGGAAAUCUCCAAUCUCAAAUUAUCUGUAUUGGUCCCAAAUUGCCUUAGACAUCAAUCCCUUAAUUAUUAUAUAAUCGGCCCCAAAGACCAAUUGAUGCCUUUUAAAGGCGGAUAUUGAGAUUAUUGAUUCUACUAAUAUCAAGAUCGAAGUCUUCUAAUCGAUGCUUUGAUUGGAGCUCAAAGAAAGCAAAAUUUUCUUAAUUUGUCAAACGAAAAUAUCAAGACAGGAGUCUACCAAUCGAUAGUUUGAUUAGAGCUCAAUGAACCCAAAAUUGACCUAAAAUCCUGACUUGUCAAAUCAAUACAUCAAAUGCUAGAGUCUUCCCGUCCAUAGUUUUAUUGGAGCCCAAUGGACACAGCAUUUCCCUAUUACCGAAUUGUGUCAAUUAAAGAAUUCUGGGGAUUCUCAUUCUUUUUCAAUUGGAGAUAAAACAAGAAUUAUUUAUAGUAUAUACAUUUAGUUUAUUUUCCCCAUUAUUACAUUUAAAACAAUUAUUAAAUUUAUAUGUUACUUUGAUGCACGAGCAAA